rnacentral:rRNA from 1 species
GACGAACGCUGGCGGCGUGCUUAACACAUGCAAGUCGAACGGAAAGGCCCCUUUGGGGGUACUCGAGUGGCGAACGGGUGAGUAACACGUGAGUAACCUGCCCUUGACUUCGGGAUAACUUCAGGAAACUGGGGCUAAUACCGGAUAGGAAUCCUUGCUGCAUGGUGGGGGUUGGAAAGCUUCGGCGGUUUUGGAUGGACUCGCGGCUUAUCAGCUUGUUGGUGGGGUAGUGGCUUACCAAGGCUUUGACGGGUAGCCGGCCUGAGAGGGCGACCGGCCACAUUGGGACUGAGAUACGGCCCAGACUCCUACGGGAGGCAGCAGUGGGGAAUAUUGCACAAUGGGCGGAAGUCUGAUGCAGAAACGCCGCGUGCGGGAUGACGGCCUUCGGGUUGUAAACCGCUUUCAGCAGGGGCGAAGCUUGUGGUGACGGUACCUGCAGAAGAAGCACCGGCUAACUACGUG